rnacentral:tRNA from 1 species
GAUGAGGUGGCCGAGUAGUUAAUGCAAUGGACUGUUAAUCCAGUGUACUCUGCACGCAUAGGCUCAAAUCCCAUUCUCAUUG